CCAGACUCCUACGGGAGGCAGCAGUGGGGGAUAUUGGACAAUGGGGGGAACCCUGAUCCAGCGACGCCGCGUGAGUGAAGAAGUAUCUCGGUAUGUAAAGCUCUAUCAGCAGGGAAGAAAGAAAUGACGGUACCUGAGUAAGAAGCCCCGGCUAACUACGUGCCAGCAGCCGCGGUAAUACGUAGGGGGCAAGCGUUAUCCGGAAUUACUGGGUGUAAAGGGAGCGUAGACGGUGAAGUAAGUCUGGAGUGAAAGGCGGGGGCCCAACCCCCGGACUGCUCUGGAAACUGUGCGGCUAGAGUACUGGAGGGGCAGGCGGAAUUCCUAGUGUAGCGGUGAAAUGCGUAGAUAUUAGGAGGAACACCAGUGGCGAAGGCGGCCUGCUGGACAGUAACUGACGUUGAGGCUCGAAAGCGUGGGGAGCAAACAGGAUUAGAUACCCGAGUA
rnacentral:rRNA from 1 species